UACGUAGGGAGCGAGCGUUGUCCGGAUUCAUUGGGCGUAAAGAGCUCGUAGGCGGCUUGGCAAGUCGGGUGUGAAAACUCCAGGCUCAACCUGGAGACGCCACCCGAUACUGCCAUGGCUAGAGUCCGGUAGGGGACCACGGAAUUCCUGGUGUAGCGGUGAAAUGCGCAGAUAUCAGGAAGAACACCCGUGGCGAAGGCGGCUCUCUGGGACGGUACUGACGCUGAGACGCGAAAGCGUGGGGAGCGAACAGG
rnacentral:rRNA from 1 species